ACUUGUUAUAUUGAAACUAAUUGUUUGAUCUUGUUUGUGUUACCAUUGGCAAAAAAACGAUGGAUUUACGUUUAAAAAAUUAUGGUGUAACCAAACUACAACUUUAUCACUAUCAAUGUUGUAGAGUAUCAUCUGUCCCAACACUGUUUAUUUUGCUCAUAACACUUAUCACAUUUCUGCUCCAAACUGAAUCAGUUUUGUUCUCCUAUCACUUCUCACUUGCCUUGUCCCUCCAAACCCUAAACCCUGUUCACAAAGAACCUCCAUUUGCCGUAAAACUCAUUUGCAUCUUCAAUUUCUCUGUUUGCUCCGUUUACCUCCGAAUCAUCAUGGCAAGACCUAAAAAACCUGCUUUAUGGCUUCAUAUUUGUGUGUUGAAUCUGUUGGAAAUGUUCCAUUAAAAUCGUUAUAUUUGUGCUUUGUAUGUGUGCAUCUUUUUGUCUCUCUCUUUCUCUUCUUCCUCACUUCUCAUCUCUCUCUUUCUCUUCUUCCUCACUUCCCUUUUCUGGGCUGCCAUUAAUGUCGGUGAUUUUGUUGAGAGUGGUUUGAAGGACAUGGCUUUAGGUCUUCAAAAUUGCGGUGUUGCAGAACAGAAUCAGUGUUUGGGUCAAUCAAAAUUUCGGUGUUGCAAAACAUAAUCAAUUUUCGAUUUAGAUCCUCUUAUGUCUUUUAAGUAAGUUAAUAUCUUGCUUUGCUUCUGGAAGGAGGCAUUUGAAUGGGAUCUUGGAAGCACAAGGAUAAGAAUGUUUAACUCACAAAAAUACGAAUAGGUUGGAAUUGCAGUAACAUUCUUUCCAAUGCCCGUGAACGGAUGAGUAGCAAUGAGUUUCGCUUCUCCAAAUCGCGUUUAUUGAAUGUUCGAAGGAGUUUAAUUUAAGGACUUUAUUCUUCCAUUUAAAUUUGUUGAUCCUACAACAUCGACCACCUUUUGUUCUUUGGUUAAACAAUUAAGAUGCUUCAAUCUUGGUUUCAAUGGUGAGAACUCUCAAGAAUGUGAUUAAUGUCUGAACUGUCAUCUAUCGAAGAAUGUGACUAAUAUCUGAACCGUAAUUGGAGAUUAAUAUGUAUUGUUAAUGAUAUUUUG